rnacentral:rRNA from 1 species
CCUACGGGUGGCUGCAGUAGGGAAUCUUCCACAAUGGACGAAAGUCUGAUGGAGCAACGCCGCGUGUGUGAUGAAGGGUUUCGGCUCGUAAAACACUGUUGUAAGAGAAGAAUGACAUUGAGAGUAACUGUUCAGUGUGUGACGGUAUCUUACCAGAAAGGAACGGCUAAAUACGUGCAAGCAGCCGCGGUACUCCGUAUGUUGCAAGCGUUAUCCGGAUUUAUUGGGCGUAAAGCGAGCUCAGACGGUUGUUUAAGUCCGAAGUGACAGCCGAGAGCUUAACGGUGGAUGUGCUUUGGAGACUGGAUAAGUUGAGUACAGUAGAGGAGAUUGUGACUCAAUGGGUAGCGGUUCAAUGCGUAGAUAUAUGGAAGAACACCAGUGGCGAAGGCGGCUCUCUGGUCUGUAACUGACGUUGAGGCUCGAAAGUGUGGGUAGCAAACAGGAUUAGAUACCCGUGUAGUC